rnacentral:rRNA from 1 species
GACGAAGGGGGCUAGCGUUGUUCGGAAUUACUGGGCGUAAAGCACGUGUAGGCGGUUGUUCAAGUCAGGUGUGAAAGCCUUGAGCUCAACUCAAGAAAUGCACUUGAUACUGGAUGACUAGAGGACCGGAGAGGAUAGUGGAAUUCCCAGUGUAGUGGUGAAAUACGUAGAGAUUGGGAAGAACACCAGUGGCGAAGGCGGCUAUCUGGACGGUUUCUGACGCUAAGACGCGAAAGCGUGGGGAGCAAACAGG